rnacentral:rRNA from 1 species
UGAACAGGGCGUUUCGUACAAGAGUGUCUCGAAAGAGUCGGUUAGCUUGAGAAUGCUGACCUAAGAUAGGUGAUAAAUUUCAUCUAAGGCUAAAUACUGGUGGGAGACCGAUAGUAAACAAGUACCGUGAGGGAAAGUUUAAAAGCACUUUGAAAAGAGAGUGAAAAGAACCUGAAACCGUUACGUGGAAACCGCAUUGCAGCAGAGUGAAGGACCCGACCUGUUCAGCCUAGUUUUCUAGGUGUACUCAGGGCGGUGCUCCGCCAGCCGUGAGCUUCUGGUGGCCAAUUUUUGUGCUGCUAGGGGCGGAGGGCUCCCUUUCGAGGUUGAGGACGUGCUGGAUAAUGCUGCGAUUCGACCCGUCUUGAAACACGGACCAAGGAGUGUAGCAUAUGUGCGAGUCAAAGGGUUUUGAAACCUGAGGGCGCAGUGAAAGCGACUGUAAAACACGCAGUUUGCGGCGGCAUACGAUCUUCGAUCGUAGGUCCGACCUAGAGCAGAUAUGCUGCGACCCGAAAGAUGGUGAACUAUACUUGAGUAGGGUGAAGCCAGGAGAAAUUCUGGUGGAAGCUCGUAGCGGUGCUGACGUGCAAAUCGCUCGUCAAACUUGAGUAUAGGGGCGAAAGACUAAUCGAACCAUCUGGUAGCUGGUUCCUCCGAAGUUUCUC